GCCCCCGUAGCUCAGCUGGAUAGAGCAACAGCCUUCUAAUCUGUCGGUCGCGCGUUCGAAUCGCGCCGGGGGCACCA
rnacentral:tRNA from 1 species